UACGUAGGCAGCAAGCGUUGUUCGGAGUUACUGGGCGUAAAGGGUGCGUAGGUGGCUCUAUAAGUAUGGUGUGAAAUCUCCCGCUUAACUGGGAGGGUUGCGCCCGUAGACUGUGGGGCUAGAGUGUGGGGAGAGGAAAGUGGAAUUCCUGGUGUAGCGGUGAAAUGCGUAGAUAUCAGGAGGAACACCGGUGGUGUAAACGGCUUUCUGGACCAUAACUGACACUGGAGGCACGAAAGCGUGGGUAGCAAACAGG
rnacentral:rRNA from 1 species